GCGAGCGAAGGCAGGCAAGCAGGCAGUCGGACUUGCCGGCUGGAUGGCUGGAUGGAUGAGGGAGCUCAGUUUCUAUGGGAGCAGCCAGCCAGAGGAGCCUUGGAGUCGGAGCGAAGAAGGAAGCAAAGCCAGGUGUACAGGGGGAACAUGAUGGGCCCCAAGGUUGCGCUGAGAGAUUUUCAGCAUACUUCAACCAUUUUCGGUCUCCUCCAGACACAUCCAGAGUUCCCCUCCAUCAAGGACAUAAUGGUGCGAUCCGUCGGCUGAUAAUGUUGGUGUGAUCCACAGGUCGGCCGGCCCAGCGCCAGAGCAGAACAGCCUCUCUCAUGGCCCAUUACAGUCUGCUUAAUGACCACACUGAUGACCCAAACUCUGUGGCAGGCUGUCCUCACUCUGCCUGUUUAAAACAACAUUUCACUCCCCUCACCAAGGUUCACUCUCCCUGGCAGCUACAAAAUGGAGAAUUUUUGUUUUACUGUCUUUGUGGACUUGUCAUUGUCCAAUCAGAAAAUGAAAGUGUUGUAGCAGAUACUCAGUUCAUUGUUAUUCUGUUCUUAUAAAAAUACUUUUUGAUUGCCUUCCAAAUUACGUACUUUUUUUUUUACCCUAUCACUUCUUAUACUGAAAAAGACUACAAUAAGUUUUAAAUAUUGAUACACUGUUGUUCCCGGUGCAUGCAAGCCACUAAAUGGAUAAAGUGGAAGCAUAUAGGGGACUAUUAAAAUGAUAAUGUAAACUUG